UGUGGGGCUACAGUAACAUGUAUGCAAUGC
rnacentral:piRNA from 1 species